UACGGAGGGGGCUAGCGUUGUUCGGAAUUCCUGGGCGUAAAGCGCGCGUAGGCGGACCAUCAAGUUGGGGGUGAAAUCCCGGGGCUCAACCUCGGAACUGCCUCCAAAACUGCUGGUCUUGAGUUCGAGAGAGGUGAGUGGAAUUCCGAGUGUAGAGGUGAAAGUCGUAGAUAUGCGGAGGAACACCAGUGGCGAAGGCGGCUCACUGGACCGUAACUGACGCUCAUGCACGAUAGCGUGGGGAGCAAACAGG
rnacentral:rRNA from 1 species